UAGGGAAUAUUGGGCAAUGGAGGGAACUCUGACCCAGCCAUGCCGCGUGCAGGAUGAAGGCGUUAUGCGUUGUAAACUGCUUUUUAUAUAGGAAGAAAUAGUCCUUGCGAGGAAAGUUGACGGUACUAUAUGAAUAAGCACCGGCUAACUCCGUGCCAGCAGCCGCGGUAAUACGGAGGGUGCAAGCGUUGUCCGGAUUUAUUGGGUUUAAAGGGUGCGUAGGCGGUUUAUUAAGUCAGUGGUGAAAGACGGUCGCUCAACGAUUGCAGUGCCAUUGAUACUGGUAGACUUGAGUAUGAUUGAGGUAGCUGGAAUGGAUAGUGUAGCGGUGAAAUGCAUAGAUAUUAUCCAGAACACCAAUUGCGUAGGCAAGUUACUAAGUCAUAACUGACGCUGAGGUGCGAAAGCAUGGGGAGCAAACAGGAUUAGAUACCCCGGUAGUCCCUGAGCGGGCUGGCAAGGCGCAU
rnacentral:rRNA from 1 species